CCUACGAGAGGCAGCAGUGGGGGAUAUUGCACAAUGGGGGGAACCCUGAUGCAGCGACGCCGCGUGUGUGAAGAAGCGCCUCGGCGCGUAAAGCCCUGUCAGCAGGGAAGAAAAUGACGGUACCUGAAGAAGAAACCCCGGCUAACUACGUACCAGCAGCCGCGGGAAGACGUAGGGGGCAAGCGUUAUCCGGAUUUACUGGGUGUAAAGGGGGCGCAGACGGCGGAGCAAGCCAGGAGUGAAAGCCCGGGGCCCAACCCCGGGGCUGCUCUUGGAACUGGGUGGCUGGAGUGCAGGAGGGGCAGGCGGAAUUCCAGGUGUAGCGGUGAAAUGCGUAGAUAUGAGGAGGAACACCGGUGGCGAAGGCGGCCUGCUGGACUGCAACUGACGUUGAGGCGCGAAAGCGUGGGGAGCAAACAGGAUUAGAUACCCUUGUAGUC
rnacentral:rRNA from 1 species